rnacentral:rRNA from 1 species
UACGUAGGGUGCAAGCGUUAAUCGGAAUUACUGGGCGUAAAGCGUGCGCAGGCGGUUAUGCAAGACAGAUGUGAAAUCCCCGGGCUCAACCUGGGAACUGCAUUUGUGACUGCAUGACUUGAGUACGGUAGAGGGGGAUGGAAUUCCGCGUGUAGCAGUGAAAUGCGUAGAUAUGCGGAGGAACACCGAUGGCGAAGGCAAUCCCCUGGACCUGUACUGACGCUCAGGCACGAAAGCGUGGGGAGCAAACAGG